AAGCCAUGCAUGUCUAAGUAUAAACAAGUUUAUACCGUGAAACUGCGAAUGGCUCAUUAAAUCAGUUAUAAUUUAUUUGAUAUUCACUUACUACUUGGAUAACCGUGGUAAUUCUAGAGCUAAUACAUGCGUACAUAACCUCGACUUCUGGAAGAGGUGCACUUAUUAGAUAAAAAGCCAACGCGGGCAACCGCUUGUAUGGUGAUUCAUAAUAAUUAAUCGAAUCGCAUGGCCUUGUGCCGGCGAUGAUGCAUUCAAAUUUCUGCCCUAUCAAGUUUCGAUGGUAGGUUAGUGGCCUACCAUGCUUUUAACGGGUAACGGGGAAUUAGGGUUCGAUUCCGGAGAGGGAGCCUGAGAAACGGCUACCACAUCCAAGGAAGGCAGCAGGCGCGCAAAUUACCCAAUCCCGACACGGGGAGGUAGUGACAAUAAAUAACAAUACAGGGCCUUUACGGGUCUUGUAAUUGGAAUGAGUACAAUUUAAAUCCCUUAACGAGGAACAAUUGGAGGGCAAGUCUGGUGCCAGCAGCCGCGGUAAUUCCAGCUCCAAUAGCGUAUAUUAAAGUUGUUGCAGUUAAAAAGCUCGUAGUUGAAUUUUGGCCUUGGUUUGUGAGGUUCGGCCUUCACUGGUCGGUACCUUUACGAACCGGGCUCCACCUUCUGGGUUAGCCAGUUGUUACUUCGGUGCAGCUGGUGAACCAGAACUUUUACUUUGAAAAAAUUGGAGUGUUUAAAGCAGGCUUUCAAGCUUGAACAUAUUAGCAUGGAAUAAUGAAAUAGGACUUUGGCCUUAUUUCGUUGGUUUCUAAAGCCAAAGUAAUGAUGAAUAGGGAUAGUUGGGGACAUUAGUAUUCAAUUGUCAGAGGUGAAAUUCUUGGAUUUAUUGAAGACUAACUUCUGCGAAAGCAUUUGUCAAGGAUGUUUUCAUUAAUCAAGAACGAAAGUUAGGGGAUCGAAGACGAUCAGAUACCGUCGUAGUCUUAACCAUAAACUAUGCCGACUAAGGAUCGGAUGGUGUUAUAUUUAUAUUGACCCAUUCGGCAUUUCAGCGAAAGCCAAGUUUUUGGGUUCCGGGGGGAG
rnacentral:rRNA from 1 species